rnacentral:rRNA from 1 species
ACGCAGUAAACGAUGAUGACUAACCGUCGGCGAUACACAGUCGGUGGCCAAGCGAAAGCGAUAAGUCAUCCACCUGGGGAGUACGACCGCAAGGUUGAAACUCAAAGGAAUUGACGGGGGCCCGCACAAGCGGAGGAACAUGUGGUUUAAUUCGAUGAUACGCGAGGAACCUUACCCGGGCUCGAACGGCAUGGGAAGAACCCAGAGAUGGGAACGUCCUUCGGGACUCAUGUCGAGGUGCUGCAUGGUUGUCGUCAGCUCGUGCCGUGAGGUGUCGGCUCAAGUGCCAUAACGAGCGCAACCCUUGUCACUAGUUACCAUCAGGUUAUGCUGGGGACUCUAGUGAGACUGCCACCGCAAGGUGUGAGGAGGGAGGGGAUGACGUCAAAUCAGCACGGCCCUUACGUCCGGGGCGACACACGUGUUACAAUGGCAGGUACAGAGGGUAGCCACCCGGCGACGGGGCGCUGAUCUCGAAAACCUGUCUCAGUUCGGACUGGAGUCUGCAACCCGACUCCACGAAGCUGGAUUCGCUAGUAAUCGCGCAUCAGCCAUGGCGCGGUGAAUACGUUCCCGGGCCUUGUACACACCGCCCGUCAAGCCAUGAAAGCUGGGGGCGCCUGAAGUCCGCGACCGAGAGGAGCGGCCUAGGGCGAAACUGGUAAUUGGGGCU